rnacentral:tRNA from 1 species
GCGGAUAUGGUCAAAUGGUAAAAUUUCU